GUAGGUGGCAAGCGUUGUCCGGAAUUAUUGGGCGUAAAGCGCGCGCAGGCGGUUCUUUAAGUCUGAUGUGAAAGCCCACGGCUCAACCGUGGAGGGUCAUUGGAAACUGGAGAACUUGAGUACAGAAGAGGAAAGCGGAAUUCCACGUGUAGCGGUGAAAUGCGUAGAGAUGUGGAGGAACACCAGUGGCGAAGGCGGCUUUUCUGGUCUGUAACUGACGCUGAGGCGCGAAAGCGUGGGGAGCAAACAGGGAUUAGAUACCCUGGUAGUCCACGCCGUAAACGAUGAGUGCUAAGUGUUAGGGGGGUUUCCGCCCCCUUAGUGCCUGCAGCUAACGCAUUAAGCACUCCGCCGUGGGGAGUACGGCCGCAAGGCUG
rnacentral:rRNA from 1 species